ACCUAAUAUCUCCAAACUAAUACCCACCUCAGCCCUAACUUUUCUCAUUCUUGCCGCCGCAUCCCUCUUCUCUCUUCUUCUGGUGUAGGCUACAUCUUUUGCAGCCAUGUGAUUUGUGAGGAGAUGGUCAACAACGCGAUGGGGACAAAGGAGAGGAUCGAUGAACAAGGGAUGAAGUCGCUUGGCUUAUAAAGUCAAGGUUUGAACUAUAUACUUGGAUUUCUGUAUAUAUACACGGAUUCUUGUAUAAAUCUGGUUUGUAUAUUUCUCCUUAAUAUAAGAUAUAUAUAUAUACACACUGCCAAUUAGUUGAUUGGAUAAAGAUGCGAUAGCCACCACCAUCGUCUCCUACACCACCAAACUGCAACCACUGCCAAUGGCAGCGUCGAGUCCAAACCGACGAUGGAAGAUCAAUAACCGAGAUCAUGGGGUCAAGGUCGGAAGAAAAACCCUCGAUUCACAGAGAUUACAAGGGUCACUAUCUCGACGUCCCUUCACGGACUUGCCUCAUGAAGAUUCUCGAGAAAUAAGGUUUGAGUAUUGUGCAGCUGCUUAUCUGCUGAAGGAAGUUCAGUUUGAGGAAGUUGAUCUGUAAUACCAUUCACUGAGAAAGGAUUUUGGUCCUUAUGAAGUAAUUAUUCCAGGUUUUGCACCCAAAGAUUUUUUAUUUAUUUAUUAUUAUUAUUAUAGUUUUAUAUCCAAAGGUCUAUGUCAAUGUCAAUGUCCCAUGUAAUGGUCAGUUUCUCUCUAUCAUACUUGUACUAUUUUUAUUAUCUGAAUGUGUCAUAUGAUGAUCUCUCUAUUGUGAAUUAACUAUUAUUGUUAGUAUUAUUUUAGUGAAAAGAUUUGGGGAUUCUGAACCUACUAGUAGGUUUUUGUGUUGUAGGGCAGCAAUGGUCCUCAAACAGGUCCAGCGUAGAGAUUGAAAGCGGUGCUACAUUAUCUUUCCAAUCUCUACGCUGGACCUGUUUUAGGAUCAUGUGCUCAAAAUCCCCAAAAUCUUUUGCCAAACUCUAAAAUACAAAAAUAAUAACAAUAAUAGUUAAUUCAUAAUAGAGAGAUCAUCAUAUGGCACAUUCACAUAAUUAAAAUAGUACAAGUAUGAUGGAGAGAAACUGACCAUCCGAUGGGACAUUGACAUGGACCUUUGGAUAUAAAACUGUUAUAAUAAUAAAUAAAAUCUUGUAAUAUUGAAGAAGAUAAAUCAGAUUAUUUUUCUAACUACUGGGUGUGUGACAUUUUCCAUUGUUCCUUACUGAUUCUUUCAUCACUGCAAACUGGAGGUUCUGCUCAGCCUUAAGCUCAACUUUACCGGAUAUUGUAGCUCAUCAUUUGAAACUAAAUUUUUUGUGUAAUUGUUUAAACUUCAAACAUAUUUCAUAUGAAUGAUUUUAUUUGUGAGUAUUGAGAUCUUCAUAUCCAAAUGUAAAAUUAUUUUCCAAUGAAGAAACUGCUCGUGACAUUACUUGUUUGGGAAA